rnacentral:rRNA from 1 species
UACAGAGGGUGCAAGCGUUAAUCGAAAUUACUGGGCGUAAAGCGUGCGUAGUCGGUUAUCUAAGUCGGGUGUGAAAUCCCCGGGCUCAACCUGGGAAUUGCAUUCGAUACUGGAUAGCUAGAGUUCGGCAGAGGGAAGCGGAAUUUCCGGUGUAGCGGUGAAAUGCGUAGAUAUCGGAAGGAACAUCAGUGGCGAAAGCGGCUUCCUGGACCAGAACUGACGAUCAGGCACGAAAGCGUGGGGAGCAAACAGG